rnacentral:rRNA from 1 species
GAUGAACGCUAGCGGCAGGCCUAACACAUGCAAGUCGAGGGAGAGGUUACCUUCGGGUAACCAAAACCGGCGCACGGGUGCGUAACGCGUAUACAAUCUGCCUUUCACAUAGGGAUAGCCCGAAGAAAUUUGGAUUAAUACCUAAUGGUAUAUAAGAGCGGCAUCGUUUUUAUAUUAAAGCUACGGUGGUGAAAGAUGAGUAUGCGUUCUAUUAGCUAGUUGGAGAGGUAACGGCUCCCCAAGGCGACGAUAGAUAGGGGUUCUGAGAGGGAUGCCCCCCACACUGGUACUGAGAUACGGACCAGACGCCUACGGGAGGCAGCAGUGAGGAAGAUUGGACAAUGGUCGGAAGACUGAUCCAGCCAUGCCGCGUGCAGGAUGAAGGUCCUAUGGAUUGUAAACUGCUUUUGUAAGGGAAGAAUAAGGAGUACGUGUACUUUGAUGACGGUACCUUACGAAUAAGCAUCGGCUAACUCCGU